rnacentral:lncRNA from 1 species
AAUACUUUGCCUUUGAGGCCUACUUCAUUCCUCGAGAUGAUGGCAACUACUACGGAGUUCCUGUAGCUGUCUUGGACUUGGCAUAUUGCGUCACCGACUCGUCAUGCGGGUUGCCCGUGCUUGUCUACGCAACGUACUCAACUUACUACAUACUGAACGAAUGCGGCAACACCAUCACACUCACGGCUUCGCCGUCCCAUUUUUACGUAACGGCGUUCUCGCACCCUGGGUACGGCUGCAAGGCGUUCCCCGACGGCCCGACCUACAACUGCAGCGUCACCUUCACGGCAGCUUCCAAUUUUUCACUUGGCCUCUUCGGAAGACACUUUAUUGGCAGUGACGGGUCUUGCGACGGCUACAAUCUUACCGCUUCUUACGGCGCUACGCAAGACGCUAACUUCUGCAUCCCCAAACUUGAAAUUCACAGGAUUCGCUCGGUAACACUCACGCUGCGGGGUGCGGCGCUGGCCAACACUUUCAAGGGGGGCUUCGUCUCGGUAUUCCAAUUGUAUUAAUAAAUGUGCGUCGUUUGCUCUCUACCAAUGUCGGCGCCCGGCUUGACCUGGAAUAUCUGCUGCACUUUGAGUUCAUUUCACGUGGUGACACUGAAACAUUGAUGAAGAACCCUCGUAUCUGGAGAGGAUGCCAGGGUCCUAUGCCCACAGGAUGACAGGGUCCCAUGCCCACAUCGUAUCUGGAGAGGAUGCCAGGGUCCUAUGCCCACAUCGUAUCUGGGGAAAAUGCCAGGGUCCUAUGCCCACAUCGUAU